ACACACCCUGGGUGAUCGCAGAAGCAGAGCCCCUGCCCAACAGGAUCUUGGCCUCAUCUUGUGGAGGAACGGACCCCCACCUGGCUCUUUGUCCCCUGGAGUGGCCCACAAUCCCCUAGGAGGAAGUGGUCACUGCUUCUGUACGGGAUGUUUCCCCAAAUUCCCCGUGUUUGCAAGAGAAACUGUGAGAUUAGAGGUACAGCAGAGACCCCAGCCCCGGGACAGGAAGGGGUG
rnacentral:lncRNA from 1 species